rnacentral:rRNA from 1 species
UACGGGGGGAGCAAGCGUUGUUCGGAUUUACUGGGCGUAAAGGGCGCGUAGGCGGUCAGCACAAGUCAGUUGUGAAAUCUCCGGGCUUAACUCGGAAAGGUCAACUGAUACUGUGCGACUAGAGUGCGGAAGGGGCAACUGGAAUUCUUGGUGUAGCGGUGAAAUGCGUAGAUAUCAAGAGGAACACCUGCGGCGAAGGCGGGUUGCUGGGCCGACACUGACGCUGAGGCGCGAAAGCGUGGGGAGCGAUCCGG